ACCUAAAAGAAAUGGACAAACAGACUCCGUCGUUCUCAAUGAGAGGGGGCUGAAACAAAAAAUCGUUUCCUGUUCAUCGUACUGCGCAGACUCAAACUCAUUUUGUGACGUUGGCCGCCCUGAACAUUGCUGUAACUCGUCUGAUAGAUGUUCAUACAGAUAUUUUGCCAUUCGACCUCGACUGACUGCGAUUUCUUGGAUCUUGUAAGUACAAUCUGAUUCUUUUUUAAACAUAUUUUUAGUCUUUGUCUGAAUCACUCAUUUCUUGCAAAAUGGUAUUUCUGUACUGUUAAGUCGAUGAUCACGUUUUUAAAAACCUACAUCGAAUAGAUUAAUAAAGCGUUAGACUCGCUAAAGUCUAGCUAUGGCUAAAGUCUGAAGUGGAUAGCAAAAGAAAACCGUUAGAGGCAGACAGGCUAACUUUUUACUGUUCAUUAUAGUUUCACUAACGUCAAUCGUAAUGUCGACCGUCAGUAUUUAUCAGUAUUUAUCAGUAGAUUGUAAAUUAUUAGAAGUGUUAUAUCCUUUAGUAGUGUUUGUACUCUAGGCGCCAGUUAGCAUGUAACAGCAUGUAACAGCAUGUGAAUGAAUGAACUGGCCACACUAGCAUGGUGCAUUUAUACCUGACGAUCUCUUUCAAGACAUUUGAAUAAAAAACGGACAUCAUGGUUAGUAUUUAUAGGGUCUGUACAUGUGGUCCCUAGCCUGGUUUGUCUGAGAAUUAAGUAGAAAUAUCCUUUAGAAGUGUUUGUACUUUAGGCGCUAGUUAGCAUGUAACAGCAUCUGAAUGAAUGAACUGACCACUACUGUAUGGUGCAUUUAUACCUGACGAUCUCUUUCAAGUCAUUUAAAUAAAACAUGGAUAUCAUGGUUAGUAUUUGUAGAGUCUGUAAAUGUGGUCCCUUGCUUGGUUUGUCUGAAAAUUAAGUGGAAAUAUCCUUUAGAAGUGUUUGUACUUUAGGCGCUAGUUAGCAUGUGCCAGGUGUCAUACCACUGCAGUAAUCAUCUCACUAAACACGUCUUUUCAUAUCCAAUCUGUUCAACAGAGUUUACCAGUCAGACCACUACACCUUUGCCAGCACCACCACCCAGCAAGCUUCAUCAACUCCAGCCAUGCCGAGUUUACCAGUCAGACCUACACCUCCGUCAAAUUCGCUCACAGCGCUGCCAAUAACACCCCAGCAAAUUUUUACAGACUUGUUCUGCAGCACUUCCGAACAAUUGAGGAGGAGCUGGGGUAAAGCAGCAGGUGGCUGUGAACACAUCUAUGCUGCAGAAGCUAGGUGGUGGUGGUGUGGCAGAUCUUGGCCUCGUGGAGGACAACAACAGGCCAUUGAGUAAUGUUGAGGACCUGGACGAGUUGGAGAGGCGGCUUGCAUCCGAUGCGGACCUGAAAAAUCAACUGGUGAACAUACUUGGGAGGGAAAACCACCGAGAUGCUGUUAAGAGGAUGCUGGGCCGGGCUUUGAGGAGGUCCCUGGCGCUCCAAAUUAAUUAGACUGGUGCAGCAGGAAAGGUGGCUUUUAAGUCCUUACACCUGAAGAGUGUGUUGCAUAUUAAUAUCAUUAUUAAAAAUAAUUUUAAUAAAUUGUUUAAGCAUGUAGAAGAAAUAAAGCAUGUAAAUGAGCAUGUAAAAGAAAUAAAUAAACAAAAUGUAUUGAACCUAAUACUAUGUGUGGUGAGUCUGUGUGAUAGUUGCUGAGGAUAAAUGUUUUUAUAUUGGAUUAUUAAAUUACAGAAUACAUUUAUAGGUUUCUCAUCAGCAGGCACUGUCUUCACCUUAGUAAAUUUGGUAACUUUGGUAAGCCCUGUAAAUAAUUGUAAAUUGUUCUGAUUGAGGGCAAAUGGAAAGUGUUAUAAUGUAUUAUUGCUAUAUUUUAGUACAUAAUUUUAAUUAUUAAGGCCAUAAAUAAGGCCAAUUAGAAGCUGGUGGGUAGUAAGCGGCAAAAGGGUGGCCCUUUAUCUGGAGCCGCUUCUGAGCCGCCGGUGGACCGCUAGAGA